UUAAGUUAUUAAGGGCGCACGGUGGAUGCCUUGGCACUAGAAGCCGAUGAAGGACGUUACUAACGACGAUAUGCUUUGGGGAGCUGUAAGUAAGCUUUGAUCCAGAGAUUUCCGAAUGGGGAAACCCAGCAUGAGUUAUGUCAUGUUAUCGAUAUGUGAAUACAUAGCAUAUCAGAAGGCACACCCGGAGAACUGAAACAUCUUAGUACCCGGAGGAAGAGAAAGAAAAUUCGAUUCCCUUAGUAGCGGCGAGCGAAACGGGAAGAGCCCAAACCAACAAGCUUGCUUGUUGGGGUUGUAGGACACUCUAUACGGAGUUACAAAGGACGACAUUAGACGAAUCAUCUGGAAAGAUGAAUCAAAGAAGGUAAUAAUCCUGUAGUCGAAAAUGUUGUCUCUCUUGAGUGGAUCCUGAGUACGACGGAGCACGUGAAAUUCCGUCGGAAUCUGGGAGGACCAUCUCCUAAGGCUAAAUACUCUCUAGUGACCGAUAGUGAACCAGUACCGUGAGGGAAAGGUGAAAAGCACCCCGGAAGGGGAGUGAAAUAGAACCUGAAACCGUGUGCUUACAAGUAGUCAGAGCCCGUUAAUGGGUGAUGGCGUGCCUUUUGUAGAAUGAACCGGCGAGUUACGAUUUGAUGCAAGGUUAAGCAGUAAAUGUGGAGCCGUAGCGAAAGCGAGUCUGAAUAGGGCGUUUAGUAUUUGGUCGUAGACCCGAAACCAGGUGAUCUACCCUUGGUCAGGUUGAAGUUCAGGUAACACUGAAUGGAGGACCGAACCGACUUACGUUGAAAAGUGAGCGGAUGAACUGAGGGUAGCGGAGAAAUUCCAAUCGAACCUGGAGAUAGCUGGUUCUCUCCGAAAUAGCUUUAGGGCUAGCCUCAAGUGAUGAUUAUUGGAGGUAGAGCACUGUUUGGACGAGGGGCCCCUCUCGGGUUACCGAAUUCAGACAAACUCCGAAUGCCAAUUAAUUUAACUUGGGAGUCAGAACAUGGGUGAUAAGGUCCGUGUUCGAAAGGGAAACAGCCCAGACCACCAGCUAAGGUCCCAAAAUAUAUGUUAAGUGGAAAAGGAUGUGGCGUUGCCCAGACAACUAGGAUGUUGGCUUAGAAGCAGCCAUCAUUUAAAGAGUGCGUAAUAGCUCACUAGUCGAGUGACACUGCGCCGAAAAUGUACCGGGGCUAAACAUAUUACCGAAGCUGUGGAUUGUCCUUUGGACAAUGGUAGGAGAGCGUUCUAAGGGCGUUGAAGCAUGAUCGUAAGGACAUGUGGAGCGCUUAGAAGUGAGAAUGCCGGUGUGAGUAGCGAAAGACGGGUGAGAAUCCCGUCCACCGAUUGACUAAGGUUUCCAGAGGAAGGCUCGUCCGCUCUGGGUUAGUCGGGUCCUAAGCUGAGGCCGACAGGCGUAGGCGAUGGAUAACAGGUUGAUAUUCCUGUACCACCUAUAAUCGUUUUAAUCGAUGGGGGGACGCAGUAGGAUAGGCGAAGCGUGCGAUUGGAUUGCACGUCUAAGCAGUAAGGCUGAGUAUUAGGCAAAUCCGGUACUCGUUAAGGCUGAGCUGUGAUGGGGAGAAGACAUUGAGUCUUCGAGUCGUUGAUUUCACACUGCCGAGAAAAGCCUCUAGAUAGAAAAUAGGUGCCCGUACCGCAAACCGACACAGGUAGUCAAGAUGAGAAUUCUAAGGUGAGCGAGCGAACUCUCGUUAAGGAACUCGGCAAAAUGACCCCGUAACUUCGGGAGAAGGGGUGCUCUUUAGGGUUAACGCCCAGAAGAGCCGCAGUGAAUAGGCCCAAGCGACUGUUUAUCAAAAACACAGGUCUCUGCUAAACCGUAAGGUGAUGUAUAGGGGCUGACGCCUGCCCGGUGCUGGAAGGUUAAGAGGAGUGGUUAGCUUCUGCGAAGCUACGAAUCGAAGCCCCAGUAAACGGCGGCCGUAACUAUAACGGUCCUAAGGUAGCGAAAUUCCUUGUCGGGUAAGUUCCGACCCGCACGAAAGGCGUAACGAUUUGGGCACUGUCUCAACGAGAGACUCGGUGAAAUCAUAGUACCUGUGAAGAUGCAGGUUACCCGCGACAGGACGGAAAGACCCCGUGGAGCUUUACUGUAGCCUGAUAUUGAAAUUCGGCACAGCUUGUACAGGAUAGGUAGGAGCCUUUGAAACGUGAGCGCUAGCUUACGUGGAGGCGCUGGUGGGAUACUACCCUAGCUGUGUUGGCUUUCUAACCCGCACCACUUAUCGUGGUGGGAGACAGUGUCAGGCGGGCAGUUUGACUGGGGCGGUCGCCUCCUAAAAGGUAACGGAGGCGCUCAAAGGUUCCCUCAGAAUGGUUGGAAAUCAUUCAUAGAGUGUAAAGGCAUAAGGGAGCUUGACUGCGAGACCUACAAGUCGAGCAGGGUCGAAAGACGGACUUAGUGAUCCGGUGGUUCCGCAUGGAAGGGCCAUCGCUCAACGGAUAAAAGCUACCCCGGGGAUAACAGGCUUAUCUCCCCCAAGAGUUCACAUCGACGGGGAGGUUUGGCACCUCGAUGUCGGCUCAUCGCAUCCUGGGGCUGUAGUCGGUCCCAAGGGUUGGGCUGUUCGCCCAUUAAAGCGGUAC
rnacentral:rRNA from 1 species